rnacentral:rRNA from 1 species
ACAGAGGUGGCAAGCGUUGUUCGGAAUUACUGGGCGUAAAGGGCGCGUAGGCGGCCUUCUAAGUCAGACGUGAAAUCCCCCGGCUUAACCUGGGAACUGCGUCUGAUACUGGAGGGCUUGAGUGCGGGAGAGGGAUGUGGAAUUCCAGGUGUAGCGGUGAAUGCGUAGAUAUCUGGAGGAACACCAGAGGCGAAGGCGGCCUACUGGGCUGCACCU